AUUGAACGCUGGCGGAAUGCUUUACACAUGCAAGUCGAACGGCAGCACGGACUUCGGUCUGGUGGCGAGUGGCGAACGGGUGAGUAAUGUAUCGGAACGUGCCCAGUCGUGGGGGAUAACGUAGUGAAAAUUACGCUAAUACCGCAUACGAUCUAUGGAUGAAAGCGGGGGAUCGCAAGACCUCGCGCGAUUGGAGCGGCCGAUAUCAGAUUAGGUAGUUGGUGGGGUAAAGGCCCACCAAGCCAACGAUCUGUAGCUGGUCUGAGAGGACGACCAGCCACACUGGAACUGAGACACGGUCCAGACCCCUACGGGAGGCAGCAGUGGGGAAUUUUGGACAAUGGGCGAAAGCCUGAUCCAGCCAUUCCGCGUGCAGGAUGAAGGCCCUCGGGUUGUAACCUGCUUUUGUACAGAACGAAAAGGUUUCUACUAAUACUAGGAGCUCAUGACGGUACUGUAAGAAUAAGCACCGGCUAACUACGUGCCAGCAGCCGCAGUAA
rnacentral:rRNA from 1 species